GAGUGGCGAACGGGUGAGUAAUACAUCGGAACGUGUCCAGUAGCGGGGGAUAACCUCUCGAAAGAGAGGCUAAUACCGCAUACGUCCUACGGGAGAAAGAGGGGGAUCGCAAGACCUCUCACUAUUGGAGCGGCCGAUGUCGGAUUAGCUAGUUGGUGGGGUAACGGCCCACCAAGGCGACGAUCCGUAGCUGGUCUGAGAGGACGACCAGCCACACUGGAACUGAGACACGGUCCAGACUCCUACGGGAGGCAGCAGUGGGGAAUUUUGGACAAUGGGCGAAAGCCUGAUCCAGCCAUGCCGCGUGAGUGAAGAAGGCCUUCGGGUUGUAAAGCUCUUUCGGCGGGGACGAAAAGGUCCGUGCUAAUACCAUGGAUCCAUGACGGUACCCGCAGAAGAAGCACCGGCUAACUACGUGCCAGCAGCCGCGGUAAUACGUAGGGUGCAGGCGUUAAUCGGAAUUACUGGGCGUAAAGCGUGCGCAGGCGGUCUGCUAAGACAGGUGUGAAAUCCCCGGGCUUAACCUGGGAACUGCGCUUGUUACUGGCAGGCUUGAGUGUGGCAGAGGGGGGUGGAAUUCCACGUGUAGCAGUGAAUGCGUAGAGAUGUGGAGGAACACCGAUGGCGAAGGCAGCCCCCUGGGCUAACACUGGACGCUCAUGCAACGAAAGCGUGGGGAGCAAACAGGAUUAGAUACCCUGGUAGUCCACGCCCUAAACUAUGUCAACUGGUUGUCGGGGAAGCAAUUCCUUGGUAACGAAGCUAACGCGUGAAGUUGACCGCCUGGGGAGUACGGCCGCAAGGUUAAAACUCAAAGGAAUUGACGGGGACCCGCACAAGCGGUGGAUUAUGUGGAUUAAUUCGAUGCAACGCGAAAAACCUUACCUACCCUUGACAUGCCAGGAACCCUCCAGAGAUGGAGGGGUGCCCGAAAGGGAACCUGGACACAGGUGCUGCAUGGUUGUUCCUUCAGCUCGUGUCGUGAGAUGUUGGGUUAAGUCCCGCAACGAGCGCAACCCUUGCCAUUAGUUGCCACAUUCAGCUGGGCACUCUAAUGGGACUGCCGGUGACAAACCGGAGGAAGGUGGGGAUGACGUCAAGUCCUCAUGGCCCUUAUGGGUAGGGCUUCACACGUAAUACAAUGGCCGGUACAGAGGGCAGCCAACUCGCGAGAGGGAGCUAAUCCCAGAAAGCCGGUCGUAGUCCGGAUUGCAGUCUGCAACUCGACUGCAUGAAGCCGGGAUCGCUAGUAAUCGCGGAUCAGCAUGUCGCGGUGAAUACGUUCCCGGGUCUUGUACACACCGCCCGUCACACCAUGGGAGUGGGUUUCACCAGAAGUAGUUAGCCUAACCGCAAGGAGGGCGACUCCAACGG
rnacentral:rRNA from 1 species